AUUGAACGCUGGCGGCAGGCCUAACACAUGCAAGUCGAGCGAGCGGCGGACGGGUGAGUAAUGUCUGGGACACUGACUGAUGGAGGGGGAUAACUACUGGAACCGGUAGCUAAUACCGCAUACCAUCAGAUGUGCCCAGAGGGGAUUAGCUAGUAGGUGGGGUAACGGCUCACCUAGUCGACUAUCCAUAGACGGUCUGAGAGAAUGACCAGACGAACGGGACCUGAGAAACGGUCCAGACUCCUCCGGGAGGGAGCAGUGGAGAAUAUGGCACAUGGGGCUCAGGCCUGAGGCAGCCUUGCCGCGUGGGUGAAGAAGACCUUCGGGUUGUAAAGCACUUUCAGCUGGGAGGCGUUACCCGCAGAAGAAGCACCGGCUAACUCCGUGCCAGCAGCCGCGGUAAUUC
rnacentral:rRNA from 1 species